rnacentral:rRNA from 1 species
GGUAAUCUUCUGAAAACGCAUCGUGAUGGGGACUAGAUUAUUGGAAUUAUUAAUCUUCAACGAGGAAUUCCUAGUAAGCGCGAGUCAUCAGCUCGUGCUGAUUACGUCCCUGCCCUUUGUACACACCGUUCUCCGUCGCUCCUACCGAUUGAGUGAUCCG